UGGGGAAUAUUGCACAAUGGGCGCAAGCCUGAUGCAGCCAUGCCGCGUGUGUGAAGAAGGCCUUCGGGUUGUAAAGCACUUUCAGCGGGGAGGAAGGCGAUAAGGUUAAUAACCUUGUCGAUUGACGUUACCCGCAGAAGAAGCACCGGCUAACUCCGUGCCAGCAGUCGCGGUAAUACGGAGGGUGCAAGCGUUAAUCGGAAUUACUGGGCGUAAAGCGCACGCAGGCGGUCUGUCAAGUCGGAUGUGAAAUCCCCGGGCUCAACCUGGGAGCUGCAUUCGAAACUGGCAGGCUAGAGUCUUGUAGAGGGGGGUAGAAUUCCAGGUGUAGCGGUGAAAUGCGUAGAGAUCUGGAGGAAUACCGGUGGCGAAGGCGGCCCCCUGGACAAAGACUGACGCUCAGGUGCGAAAGCGUGGGGAGCAAACAGG
rnacentral:rRNA from 1 species